rnacentral:tRNA from 1 species
AUUAUCAUUACUUAAUGGUUAAAGUACUAGAGUGAAAUCCUAGGUAUGUGAGUUCGAUUCUCUCUGAUAAUA